rnacentral:rRNA from 1 species
UACGUAGGGCGCAAGCGUUGUCCGGAAUUAUUGGGCGUAAAGAGCUCGUAGGCGGUUUGUCGCGUCUGCUGUGAAAACUCGGGGCUUAACCCCGGGCCUGCAGUGGGUACGGGCAGACUAGAGUGCGGUAGGGGAGACUGAAUUCCUGGUGUAGCGGUGAAAUGCGCAGAUAUCAGGAGGAACACCGGUGGCGAAGGCGGGUCUCUGGGCCGUAACUGACGCUGAGGAGCGAAAGCGUGGGGAGCGAACAGG